GUGAGAGUGAGAAAUCGAGGCAACACCUUCAGUAAAAUCCCUAAACCCAACGUAUUGUUCAUACUUCCCUAAUCUCCCUCCUCUUCGAAAUUUUUCUGGCAAAAUAAGCAACCUAACCCCGAACUCUUCGAGCCCCUUUCCUCCUCUUCAGAAUCGAUCACUCGAGCCCCAUUCUCUUUCUCCUCUUCUCAAUGAGGCGGUGACCCAACCCCAACCUCCUCUUCUCUUCUUCAUCUUCUCCUUAAUCAGGAUUUCUCUCUUCUUUUGAGAUUGUCUGAGACACUUUCCUCCUCAAGACCCCCUUCAUUCUUAGAUCGUCGUUGACGAUGUCACUAGAUGACCGUCCAUCAUCCUCUGCUACCACUCAAGCUCGGAAAAAGUCUCAAUCCAACACUCUUCAUCUUAUGUACGUGUUCCCCUUUCAUCUCUUUCACUUCUGUAGAGAAUAUGAGGUUUUCAUUUUGCUUUAAAAUCUACUGAAGUGGAAUAGUUCGUUUUUAGCCUAAUUCAUGCAUGUAUAUAUAUAUAUUUUUAUAUUUGAUUCAAAUUAUCAUAUAUUCUUUUUGUUCUUUGAGUCUCGUUAACGAAGAUGUAUAUGGAUUUAUUUAAUUUCUUGACUUCAAAUCACGAUUUCUUGUUGUUGAUCACAAUUGAAUUGUUAUGUUGGUCCUUUGCAGCAUGAAACAUUCUUUCUGUUGUUUGGUUGCUGAGAAAUGUGUAUGAAUGAAAGUAAAAUUUUGUUUAUAUUAUUUUUGUUGUGAAAUUAUAGGGGAGAAUCAGAUAUUUUGGAUGCCCAUAUGGUUAAUGUUGAUGUAUUAUAGUUGGUAACUGAUUAUUUGAAAUCUUAAAUCAUUUUGGGGAUUUGGGUUGGGCAUUUUUUCUGAUAGUAAAUACUGAAUUUGAUCACUUAGACUGUUGAUAAUGGAUUUCAUAACUUGAAUCAUAUAUCAUUUUUAUGGGAGGAAACUCUGUUGUUUCCAUUCUUCAAAUUACGUACAAAUAGCUAUGACUGUGUAGAUCAUAUGUUUAAGCUUAACUAAACAAGAAACAUAGGCUAUGUGAAAGUCUUGUUUAUAAAAUGAGUUAGACUUUCAAGUAAUUUAUAGAUCAUAUGUUUCAAGUAAUUUAAAAUUUUAGGCAUCGGGUUUCCUAGCUUCUAAUGUAAAUGUUUUCUAAACAUGAGCUAGCUAGCUAGCUUUGGCAGAGAAGCUAGUUAUGAUCAGAUCAGACCACUUAAGAAAUAAUCAAAUAAAGAGAUAGAAUAAUUGUAGAAGAAAGUUUUAGAGUGUUCUUUUUUCUUGUUCUUUGUCAGUAAAGUGGAAUGAGAUUGUUAUGCUCUCAUUGCCACAAGUUACAAGGCAUUAGUUUAAAUCAUACUAAGUUCCCUUUUCCGUUGAAGAAUUAUCACCGAUCGUUUUGUGGAGAUUUGGGAAGAGGAGGACUUCUUCGUACAAAUCGCGUUUUUGGAUUUCGGGUAAGUCCAAAUCUCUCCUCUCCUUGUUUGUCUCGCAGCUAUCAUUUACCUAGACAUAUAAUGUGUUUAUUUAUCAAGAAAAAUGACUUAUCUAUUGACUUUGUUGAUUGUGAUUAUUUAUGCUGGUUCUUUGUGCAUAUGAUAGAUAAUUUAUUUGGUGUUCAUGGUUGUAUGCAAAAAGGAACAUUCAUAUUUUUGACAUGUGAUAAUCUCUAAUCUGUCGUAUAAGUUUAUUGCCUUUAACACCGCCUGUAGAACACUAUAUACAUCGAUCAUAUGAUCGACUAAUUACAAAGAAAGUUCUUGAAUAGAAAAUAUGUCCAUUCUUAUGUCAAGUGAUGGGUCAUUAAGAAUAAUAAUAGUAAUAAUCACCAUUGUUGCAUUGGGAUAGUGCUCUAAUUUUAAUUAUUGUUAUAUUGAUGGGUCACUAAGAAUAAUAAUAGUAAUAAAUUUCUAUCAUCAUCUUCAAUCAAUUAAUACAGUAGAGAUUUCUUAAAUCAUUCUUUAUUUUACAAACAUGAUAUUUUGACAUAUUGCCCUUCUUUUCCUUGGAAUAAAUGAUCUUGAAGUGUCAUACAUUUGUCUUAACUCUCCACUGCUAUUGUAGAAAAGAAAUUUCAAGGAUGUCUUGUUAUAUACUUGUUAUAUUUUUCUGGUUAUUUCCCAUGUCUCGUAAGUCCCUAUUGCAUUCAGGCUGUUGAUUUCUCACCUACUAUCUUCCACUUUUAGGGCAACCAAUUGGACUGUAUAGUUCAAGUCAGACGCUCCAUAUAGUAACGAAGAGAUCAAUACAGUACGGGAUGAGUGGGUCGAAUUUGUGAAGCCUUUGAUUAUGGAUUUAGUACAAGGUUACUACUUUUGUUAUAAUACAUGAGUAACAAGUUUUAUGAUUAUUGUUAUAUGUUGCAUAUGUAAUUAGUUUAUAUUUAGUUUACAAUAUACAUGAAAUUUAAGUUUUCGGAUCGAUUCUAUUAACAAUUUUAGUAUUGUGUGAUUAAUUAAUAGAAUCGAUUACUAAUUUUAUGUGAGUUUUAAAAAUGUUAUU